rnacentral:rRNA from 1 species
CUUCGCAUCGAUGAAGAACGCAGCGAAAUGCGAUAAGUAAUGUGAAUUGCAGAAUUCAGUGAAUCAUCGAAUCUUUGAACGCACCUUGCGCUCCUUGGUAUUCCGAGGAGCAUGCCUGUUUGAGUGUCAUUAAAUUCUCAACUGUUAUCAACUUUUGCUGAUAAUGGCUUGGAUGUGGGGGUUUAUUUUGCUGGCUUCUCAGAUAGUCAGCUCCCCUUAAAUGCAUUAGCCGGUGCCCCGCGUGGACUGUCUAUUGGUGUGAUAAUUAUCUACGCUAUGGACAUCUGCAAUCAUAUGGGUGUGCACUGCUUCCAACAGUCUGUUAAAGACAAUACAUGACAAUUUGACCUCAAAUCAGGUAGGACUACCCGCUGAACUUAAGCAUAUCAAUAAGCGGAGGAAAAGAAACUAACAAGGAUUCCCCUAGUAACUGCGAGUGAAGCGGGAAAAGCUCAAAUUUAAAAUCUGGCGGUCUCUGACCGUCCGAGUUGUAAUGUAGAAAAACGCAUGAGAAUCCCGUCUUGACACGGA